AACGUAGGAGACAAACGUUAUCCGGAGUUACUGGGCGUAAAGGGCGCGUAGGCGGUCUGUUAAGUCUGGCGUGAAAUCUCCGGGCUUAACUCGGAAAGGUCAACUGAUACUGUGCGACUAGAGUGCAGAAGGGGCAACUGGAAUUCUCGGUGUAGCGGUGAAAUGCGUAGAUAUCGAGAGGAACACCUGCGGCGAAGGCGGGUUGCUGGGCUGACACUGACGCUGAGGCGCGAAAGCCAGGGGAGCGAACGGG
rnacentral:rRNA from 1 species